ensembl:lncRNA
AUGGCCUCGCCUCCGGGACAAGGCGGAGUGGGGGUGGGGUGGGGGGAUGUGGACCCCUUGCUCAUGCAAAAAUUUGGAGCAGCUGCGCUUCGGGGAGAAACACCAGCUAGUUUUCGGUUUGAAGACUCCGGAACUCUGCGGAAUCCCGAGCGACUGAAUCGUGGUUCCCGCCGGCCGCGAUCCGAUCGUCCGCACUCGGUUCUGUUCUGCCAAGUGGCCAUCACUGCGCUGGGCUCGCAUGCAGGGGCGGCUGCCUCCUCGAGCUCUGGGUCUGGCGCUGGGGGAGGAGACCGAGAUGGGUCAGCCUCGGCUCUCGGGAGACCAGCUCCGUAUGCCAGACGGUCACUGGACUGGGUGAUGGUGUGACUUGGGGCGUGUGUUUAUACUUUGGGUAAUAAACUCAAAUUUUAUGACCCAAGUAAAGGACAAGCCCACGUUUCAAUGUCUUUCCUGUUUGAGGGGCUGCGCAAAGGGGCUUCCAUGACCCAGGCAAGGAAGGAAACCGCGGAGGAGACUAAGCAUUGGGCCGCAAUAGACCACCAGCCUCCACCAGGGUCCGGGGGGCGGUGCUCCAGGCACCGGGUCUCCUCUCCUCCUAGAAGAACGGCGGUGUUUUCAUAGGUUUUAUUAUUAUUUUCUGAGGCCAACAGACCAAGCCACUGAGAAGAUGGCUUAUCACAGUUUCCAACAGGAGGCGGCACGUCUCCGUGGGGGGAGGGGGGACGGGGACGCGCCAGUGUCGACAGGAAGAAGAAAUGUGGGCAGGACACUUUCUUGUGGUUUCAGGGAAGGUGAAACAGGUCAGGCAGGGAAGACAGGUUUAAAUGGCUGGCUGAAAUAAGUUCAGUGGGCUCGCGGGCACAGGUGCUGUCCCUGGUUGUCUGUUUCCUGGCCUUGAGGUGAUUCUGCAGGUGGAUUGUGGCCCAGAGGGUGAGAGUUUGAUAAAAACAGGUGGUCGUGGGCUGUGGACCCUGGAUUGGUUGGUUUACCUUUGAAAAAUGCCUGCUGACAGAGGAAUUGUUUGCUAUCUCGAAGAACUGACCAGAUCGGUGGGUCUGGAAGAUCCCCUGGAGUAGGGAAUGGGAACCCACUCCUAUAUUCUGGCCUGGAAAAUUUCCACGGACGGAGGAGCCUGGCGGGCUACAGUCCAUGGGGUUGCAAAGAGUCCAACACGACUGAAAAACUGGGCACAAUUGACCAGGGAGGAAGGUUCAAGAGGGAGGGGACAUAUACACUUAUGGAGGAUUCACGUUGAUGAAUGGCAGAAACCAACACAACACUGUAAAACUGUUAUCUUCCAAUUAAAAAUUCAAAAAUAAAAUUUUAAAAUGUAAAAAAAAAAAAAAAAUUGACCAACCUUGGGAGAGGCCUUUGCUCCAGAGUCAGCAAGGCUCCAGACAUCUAAACAACAGAAUACAGAAAAGACAUGGCUGAUACAGGAAGGGACUGAGACUUUGGUUGGAAUCUGAGGGCCCCCAGUCUAGGCGGCUUUCUGAUCGCAGGCCCAGAGUCGGGCCUCCCCAGGGUAUUAAGGCACAGAGCCCCUGCCAGGUGAGCUGCCACAGGGCCAGAGCUGCCCAGCACGUGCAGAGGGGGCAGGGGGCUGGUGACCCUCUUCUCUGAUCUAAUCGCCCCAGUUUCUCUGGUUAAGCCUGGAGUCUUGCAUGUUCGGUGCCCCUUUCAUGCCUCCUGACUCUCAAGUUGGAGAAGGAAAUGGCAACCCACUCCAGUACUCUUACUUGGAGAAUCCCGUAGAUGGAGGAGCCUGGUGGGCUGCCGUCUAUGGGGUGGCAGAGUUGGACACGACGGAAGCGACUUAGCAGCAGCAGCAGCAGCAGCANNNNNNNNNNNNNNNNNNNNNNNNNNNNNNNNNNNNNNNNNNNNNNNNNNNNNNNNNNNNNNNNNNNNNNNNNNNNNNNNNNNNNNNNNNNNNNNNNNNCGACGGAAGCGACUUAGCAGCAGCAGCAGCAGCAGCAGCAGCAGCAGCAGACUCUCAAGUCUCCUAGUGAGUGCAUUUCCUGAACAGAACCUCGGGUCCCAUCUGGGUGUCCAGGGAGGCCUCUCUGGCCUUUGAGGCCUAGUGGGCAUCAACCAGGGUAACCAGGCUCCUUGGCCAGCAUUUUGUUCCCCCACAGACAGAACCUUUCACGACUCCCAUUCCUUGAAGGGAAACCACCACUGCCUCCAGCAGCAGGUCCACUCCUCUCUGUGUCGGGGUGCCCCUCCCUCCGACCUGCCUCAACUCCCUCCCCACUUGGGCACCCAAGGUCUGCUGUCCUCUACAGCGAGCCCUGAGUCUCGGUCCUGCCUGCAGCUGGGGUCUGACUGUCAUCUGUCCAGGGAACAGGAAGUGAGCACUGCAGAGGAAGCUCCCUGUGGAGCUUUUUGGCAUCAAAUCCCCAAGGAGCCCCGUUGCUUUUUCUGGUCACUUUAGGGCUGAAACAGAAUGCCUGGCAGAGCAGGUGUGGGUCCUGGGCCUGUGAGAAUGGAUCAUGGGGCAGGUGCAGUGGGU